UGAGGAAUAUUGCGCAAUGGGGGCAACCCUGACGCAGCGACGCCGCGUGAGUGAGGAAGGCCUUCGGGUCGUAAAGCUCUGUCAAAGGGAAAGAAGUGCAUAAUGGUUAAUACCUGUUAUGUUUGACGGUACCCUUAAAGGAAGCACCGGCUAACUCCGUGCCAGCAGCCGCGGUAAUACGGAGGGUGCAAGCGUUGUUCGGAAUUACUGGGCGUAAAGGGCGCGUAGGCGGUUUGAUAAGUCAGAUGUGAAAGCCCACGGCUUAACUGUGGAAGUGCAUUUGAUACUGUUAGACUUGAGUACCAGAGGGGAAAGUGGAAUUCCCGGUGUAGAGGUGAAAUUCGUAGAUAUCGGGAGGAAUACCGGUGGCGAAGGCGACUUUCUGGCUGGAUACUGACGCUGAGGCGCGAAAGCGUGGGGAGCAAACA
rnacentral:rRNA from 1 species